GAAAAGCACUAGCGGCUGUGGAAGCUAAUCUGUGCACUGUAUGACACUCUAAAUGUUACUAAUCCUGACCUUACCCAAAAAUGUUGGUUAUGUUACAGUGUCU